rnacentral:rRNA from 1 species
GGCCUAACACAUGCAAGUCGAACGCCCCGCAAGGGGAGUGGCAGACGGGUGAGUAACACGUGGAAACGUACCCUUUGGUUCGGAACAACCCUGGGAAACUAGGGCUAAUACCGGAUACGCGCGAGAGCGGAAAGGUUUACCGCCGAAGGAUCGGCCCGCGUCUGAUUAGCUAGUUGGUGAGGUAACGGCUCACCAAGGCGACGAUCAGUAGCUGGUCUGAGAGGAUGAUCAGCCACAUUGGGACUGAGACACGGCCCAAACUCCUACGGGAGGCAGCAGUGGGGAAUAUUGGACAAUGGGCGCAAGCCUGAUCCAGCCAUGCCGCGUGAGUGAUGACGGCCUUAGGGUUGUAAAGCUCUUUUACCCGGGAAGAUAAUGACGGUACCGGGAGAAUAAGCCCCGGCUAACUUCGUGCCAGCAGCCGCGGUAAU